rnacentral:rRNA from 1 species
GACGUAGGGGGCCAGCGUUGUUCGGAAUUACUGGGUGUAAAGGGUUCGUAGGCGGUGCGGCAAGUUGGGAGUGAAAUCUCUGGGCUUAACCCAGAGGCUGCUUCCAAAACUGCUGUGCUUGAGUGUGGGAGAGGCGCGUGGAAUUGCAGGUGUAGCGGUGAAAUGCGUAGAUAUCGAGAGGAACACCUGCGGCGAAGGCGGGUUGCUGGGCUGACACUGACGCUGAAGCGCGAAAGCUAGGGGAGCGAACGGG